CCUACGGGAGGCAGCAGUAAGGAAUAUUGGUCAAUGGGCGGAAGCCUGAACCAGCCAUGCCGCGUGCAGGAAGACGGCCCUAUGGGUUGUAAACUGCUUUUGUACCGGAAUAAACCCCCGAACGUGUUCGGGGCUGAAUGUACGGUAAGAAUAAGGAUCGGCUAACUCCGUGCCAGCAGCCGCGGUAAUACGGAGGAUCCGAGCGUUAUCCGGAUUUAUUGGGUUUAAAGGGUGCGUAGGCGGCCUGUUAAGUCAGGGGUGAAAGACGGUAGCUCAACUAUCGCAGUGCCUUUGAUACUGACGGGCUUGAAUGUACUUGAGGUAGGCGGAAUGUGACAAGUAGCGGUGAAAUGCAUAGAUAUGUCACAGAACACCAAUUGCGAAGGCAGCUUACUAAGGUAUGAUUGACGCUGAGGCACGAAAGCGUGGGGAUCAAACAGGAUUAGAUACCCUGGUAGUCCACGCCCUAAACGAUGAAUACUCGAUGUUGGCGAUAUACGGCCAGCGUCUAAGCGAAAGCGUUAAGUAUUCCACCUGGGGAGUACGCCCGCAAGGGUGAAACGUCAAAUUGAAAUUGACGG
rnacentral:rRNA from 1 species